AGGAUACAUUGGCUCCGAUUGGUA
rnacentral:siRNA from 1 species